rnacentral:rRNA from 1 species
UUAUACAUGCAAGUCGAGGGGCAGCAUUUACUUCGGUAAAUGGCGACCGGCGCACGGGUGAGUAACGCGUAUGCAACCUACCUUUAACUGGGGCAUAGCUCGAGGAAACUCGAAUUAAUUCCCCAUGGUACAAUACAUUAUCGCAUGAUAUAAUUGUUAAAGAUUUAUCGGUUAAAGAUGGGCAUGCGUCUGAUUAGCUUGUUGGUAAGGUAACGGCUUACCAAGGCAACGAUCAGUAGGGGGUCUGAGAGGAUGAUCCCCCACACUGGUACUGAGACACGGACCAGACGUCUACGGACGGCAGCAGUAAGGAAUAUUGGGCAAUGGGCGCAAGCCUGACCCAGCCAUGCCGCGUGCAGGAUGACGACCCUAUGGGUUGUAAACUGCUUUUAUAUAGGAAGAAAAUACUCUUGCGAGAGGAUCUGACGGUACUAUAUGAAU